CCCUUAGAUGUUCUGGGCUGCACGCGCGCUACACUGAUGCGCUCAACGAGUUUUAACCUUGCCUGGAAAGGUUGGGUAAUCUUUUUAAAACGCAUCGUGAUGGGGAUAGAUUAUUGCAAUUAUUAAUCUUCAACGAGGAAUUCCUAGUAAGCGCGAGUCAUCAGCUCGUGCUGAUUACGUCCCUGCCCUUUGUACACACCGCCCGUCGCACCUACCGAUUGAAUGGUCCGGUGAAAUCCUCGGAUCGAGCCGUGGGGCAACUCCGGUUCGAGAAGUUGAUUAAACCUUACCAUUUAGAGGAAGGUGAAGUCGUAACA
rnacentral:rRNA from 1 species